rnacentral:rRNA from 1 species
AGUGAACGCUGGCGGUAGGCCUAACACAUGCAAGUCGAACGGCAGCACAGUAAGAGCUUGCCCUUACGGGUGGCGAGUGGCGGACGGGUGAGGAAUACAUCGGAAUCUACUUUUUCGUGGGGGAUAACGUAGGGAAACUUACGCUAAUACCGCAUACGACCUACGGGUGAAAGCAGGGGAUCUUCGGACCUUGCGCGAUUGAAUGAGCCGAUGUCGGAUUAGCUAGUUGGCGGGGUAAAGGCCCGCCAAGGCGACGAUCCGUAGCUGGUCUGAGAGGAUGAUCAGCCACACUGGAACUGAGACACGGUCCAGACUCCUACGGGAGGCAGCAGUGGGGAAUAUUGGACAAUGGGCGCAAGCCUGAUCCAGCCAUACCGCGUGGGUGAAGAAGGCCUUCGGGUUGUAAAGCCCUUUUGUUGGGAAAGAAAAGCAGCAGGUUAAUACCCCGCUGUUCUGACGGUACCCAAAGAAUAAGCACCGGCUAACUUCGU